GACGAACGCUGGCGGCGUGCUUAACACAUGCCAGUCGAACGGAAAGGCCCUGCUUUUGUGGGGUGCUCGAGUGGCGAACGGGUGAGUAACACGUGAGUAACCUGCCCUUGACUUUGGGAUAACUUCAGGAAACUGGGGCUAAUACCGGAUAGGAGCUCCUGCUGCAUGGUGGUGAUUGGAAAGUUUCGGCGGUUGGGGAUGGACUCGCGGCUUAUCAGCUUGUUGGUGGGGUAGUGGCUUACCAAGGCUUUGACGGGUAGCCGGCCUGAGGGGGUGACCGGCGACAUUGGGACUUAGGUGCGGCCGAGACUGCUACGGGAGGCAGCAGUGGGGAAGAUUGCAGAAUGGGCGGGAGCGUGAGGCAGAAACGCCGCGUGCGGGAUGACGUCUUACGGGUUGUAAACCGCUGUCGCCGGUGACGAAGCGGGAGUGACGGUAAUGGGUAAAGAAGCACCGGCUAACUACGUG
rnacentral:rRNA from 1 species